GGAAGUGAUGUGCUCCGCCAGCUUCCGCCAGCGGCCCGGCCGCGGCCAUGGCGGGGUAUUUGACUCCCCGCUUCAGGAGGAUCCACAGCCAGAGCGAGUUGCAGCCGCGGCGGGGGAGCGGGCGGCGCCGAGAUUGUGAUGGUCCUUUUCAAGCAACUCAGCUGUGGAAUAGUAUUAUACAUGCCCUUCACAAUCAAGUGGAAAUCAAAAGACGUAGACAACACCUGAAAACAUAUAGAAACUGUUUCACUGGCUCCAAUGCUGUUGAUGUGGUACUGAGCCAUCUUAUGCAAAGCAUGUACCUAAGCUGCAAUGAUAUUUCUCGGCUGAAGGGAGUCCGUGUAUGCCAAGCGUUGAUGGAUCACAAAGUGUUUGAGCCAGUUGGAGCCAAGCUUUACUUAUUCAAGAAUGGGAAAGAAACAGAGUUUGAAGACACAGACACUAGUCUCUAUAGAUUUGUAAAUAGCAGUCUUGAUUCUCUUCUUCCAAGAAAAAAUAAGGACAAUGAAAGCUUCUCUCCUGAACGAAUCUGCAAACAGAAAACAAAAAGAUGUUCCAACAGAACAAAGUGUGACGCAACACUUUCAAACCCCUUAGCAUUGGAAGUAGCUGAUAAAAAGAGGGUUGAGGAGCUUCUUCAAUCAAUAUACGUUCACGCAUCUUCACCUCCGAAGAUCAUGGUUAAUGAACCAACUCGCCUGCUUUCAAAAGGAGUAAUAGAAGAUGUCUGGAAACAGCAAACUCUGCUACGACUGCUGCAGUUAAUUGAUGUUCCCCUUCUAGAAGAUAUCUUGGUGUCUUCAGUGAAGACAAAAUCAGACAGUUUUGGCAAAGAAGACGACAUGAUUAUCUCAAAUACUUUCCUGGACAGAGAGGUUACAUGUAGCUUAAACUUGCCCGAGCUUGACCGAUGGCUCUAUGCUGCCAUUGAAUGCUUGGAGUAUUUUCCUGACCAGUUCCUAGUGAUGGUUAGUCAGCAGUUACCUCAAAGCACUAACAACCUCAGCAGUCUGAAUACAUACAAAAAGAUUCUUUUUGACGUUAUAAUGAAGUAUUACACUCAAAAGAAGGACUCUCUUCUUGCCACUCAGGAUCUUGAUAUUCACUUAGGAAUUAUAGAACUUAUAGAAAAAGGAAAAACAGAUCACGCUCUAGAGGCAUUACAACUUUAUUUAAAAUUAUUAGCACCAAAUAUUAGUGAAGAACUACACAGGCUCCUUACAUUCCUAGCCAUUGCGUCGGAAUCUCAUGGCUACAGAUUGCAAAAACAAUUUGAGAACAGAUUUGUGAUCAUCAAGACUUGUACAAAGUUCAUCUUGCAAAACAGGACACUGUCAAAACUACAGGCAGAACUGCUGACUCAGUUUCUUAUGGACAAUCACUCUGAGCUCUUCAAGGCUCCUUUAACUCUUCUGGAACUAACAAGUAGGAGACUUCAGAGUUUGCUAGAAGGGCAAGAUCCAGAUAUCAAUUCAGUUCAGUGUUCUGAGAAUCACAUAUUGUGAAGCCAAAGAAUCCAGAGAUGAGCAACAGAGGAAAGGCUGCCUGUCUGUAAUAUUCUUGGAGCCGGGGUGAUCUCCAUGAGCACGUUGAACAGACAACUGAAGUACAAACCCCAUGCUACGUUUUUCCUACUAAGUUUUGGAGUCCCAGUCUGUAAAUGCAUAUAGGUUCCAUCUACUUGUUGAAAUAGUUAGUUUGAUCUGAUCGUAAGCUCUCCGGCAUGGCAUAUUCCUGUUUGCCUGUGUGCCUCAUAGUCUGGUGCCUCAUUUUCCCUUUUCUCAUGAAGGAGACAGCAGAAAAAUCUUUCCUAGAAGCUGUUGAGCAUUCUUAGCUGGUGAACUUCUUAAAUCCAGGUGGGAGCAGGAGGGAAGGCUGGGAGACCCAGAUAAGAAAAGGGGUCUGUCUAUGCAGGAGGGUAAUCCUUAGGUCUGCUGGAAAUAAAAAAGACUAAAACCAGUGCGAGAACUCUGGGGUUGGUUUGAAUCUAGUAAGACACUUGAAACCACAAGACUAAAGGAUCCAUGCUGAAGUUUUAAGAGUUAAAUCUCUUUCCCAGUUGUUAAGCUUCCCUUUUUGAAAGAGCUGUCUUUUUUUCUUCAUCUGAUUCUACUAAACCAUAAAAAAUAUUGAUGUUUGACAAACUUACUGUAAAAGAAGGGGAGGACAGCUCCAUGUGAAAACUCUUGACAGCUCAGGUUAAUACUACUAUGUGAAGCCUAAAGAUGAUGGUGUUUGUAAAGAAGAUUUGUAAGCAUUUUUUCCCCUUUAUGCAACUGACACUUGUUCAACCAAAUUGCUCUCUAAUAUCUAUGGGAAGGAAAAGAGUGGAGAAGUAGCUGAAUGCCAGUCUUUCCUCAGGCCAGAACUCACCUGCCCAGUGAUGGGGCUUGAGUCCUUGCAGGACAGUACUUUACUGCAGAGAUUCACAACCUUUUUAUAGCUAAGAUAUGCUUGAGUUGAGUAUUUCUCAGGGUUGUUCCUUGCUCUGCCCUCACCCUGAAUCACUGCCUCUUGCAUCAGCUCUGCUUCUGCUGCCCAAACCAUGCUCAACUGUCUAUUCACCUAGAAGCUCCUAAAUUCUAUUCCUGAUUUUUGAAGUGUGGUUUACAGGCAACUGUUUCUCCAAAGUAUUUGUUCACUUGCAUUAGAUACUGGGCCUUGCCACAGAUCUGAUUUACUUACAGGGAAUCUUUGGAUCCUGACAAAUGCAAGGCUUCACCUUCUGUCAGCGCAUUACACCUAAAGAAUAUGAAGAUCAAAAACAACAAACCGUUCAGCAUCUUCUAGCACUGAUUCAAGAGAUGGACAAUGACCCUACUGUUCCUUUGAAGCAAAAGAAGAAAUUAAUCAAAGAAUUCC